rnacentral:lncRNA from 1 species
CUGAUUAUCAUUCUGCAAGUUUGUUUCAGACUUCUUGUUCUUCCGCCGCUUUUUGGAAGCUGGAAGAACAGCCCAAAAAGUUGGAGCAGGGCCCAAGGAAGUGGGAGCAGGAGUCAAGGAAGUUGACGCAGGGGCCAAGGAAGCUGAGGCAGGGGCCAAGGAAGCUGAGGCAGGGGCCAAGGAAGUUGAGGCAGGGGCCAAGGAAGUUGGGGUUGUGGCCAAGGAAGUUGAAAC